GCUCUCGUAGCUUAGUUGAUUAGAGCGCCUGCUUAGUUAAAGGAGGUCUUGAGUUCGAAUCUCAACAAGAAUA
rnacentral:tRNA from 1 species